GUGAGGAAUAUUGGUCAAUGGGCGGGAGCCUGAACCAGCCAAGUCGCGUGAAGGAAGAAGGAUCUAUGGUUCGUAAACUUCUUUUGCAGGGGAAUAAAGUGCAGGACGUGUCCUGUUUUGUAUGUACCCUGAGAAUAAGGAUCGGCUAACUCCGUGCCAGCAGCCGCGGUAAUACGGAGGAUCCGAGCGUUAUCCGGAUUUAGUGGGUUUAAAGGGUGCGUAGGUGGAUUGAUAAGUCAGCGGUGAAAGUUUGCAGCUUAACUGUAAAAUUGCCGUUGAAACUGUCGGACUUGAGUGUAAAUGAGGUAGGCGGAAUGCGUGGUGUAGCGGUGAAAUGCAUAGAUAUCACGCAGAACUCCGAUUGCGAAGGCAGCUUACUAAGCUACAACUGACACUGAAGCACGAAAGCGUGGGGAUCAAACAGGAUUAGAUACCCCAGUAGUCC
rnacentral:rRNA from 1 species